UACCAGCACCCCGAGUGGUCGGGACGAUUAUUGGGCCUAAAGCAUCCGUAGCCGGUCAUGCAAGUCUUCCGUUAAAUCCAGCCGCUCAACGGUUGGGCUGCGGAGGAUACUACGUGGCUAGGAGGCGGGAGAGGCAAGCGGUACUCAGUGGGUAGGGGUAAAAUCCUUUGAUCCAUUGAAGACCACCAGUGGCGAAGGCGGCUUGCCAGAACGCGCUCGACGGUGAGGGAUGAAAGCUGGGGAGCAAACCGG
rnacentral:rRNA from 1 species